GUGUAGGUGUAGUAGUGUAGGUGUAAUAGUGUAGUGUAGGUGUAAUAGUGUAGGUGUAGUAGUGUAGGUGUAAUUGUGUAGUGUAGGUGUAAUUGUGUAGUGUAGGUGUAAUAGUGUAGGUGUAAUAGUGUAGGUGUAGUAGUGUAGGUGUAAUAGUGUAG